rnacentral:rRNA from 1 species
AGCGUAGACGGUGUGGCAAGUCUGAUGUGAAAGGCAUGGGCUCAACCUGUGGACUGCAUUGGAAACUGUCAUACUUGAGUGCCGGAGGGGUAAGCGGAAUUCCUAGUGUAGCGGUGAAAUGCGUAGAUAUUAGGAGGAACACCAGUGGCGAAGGCGGCUUGCUGGACUGUAACUGACACUGAGGCUGAAAGCGUGGGGGAGCAAACA